rnacentral:rRNA from 1 species
UACGGAGGGUGCAAGCGUUAUCCGGAUUCACUGGGUUUAAAGGGGGCGCAGGCGGGCCUGUAAGUCAGUGGUGAAAUACCCGAGCUUAACUCGGGAACUGCCAUUGAUACUAUAGGUCUUGAAUACCGUGGAGGUGAGCGGAAUAUGUCAUGUAGCGGUGAAAUGCUUAGAUAUGACAUAGAACACCAAUUGCGAAGGCAGCUCACUACACGAAUAUUUGACACUGAGGCACGAAAAGCGUGGGGGAUCAAAACAGGAUUAGAAAACCC